GUGAUAACCAAUUUUAACAGAUGUAAAUCAUCUCACUUCUGUCAGUGUAAAUUGCUUGUCAUUUCUCCAAGCAAUGGAGUCAAAACACUUUAAAACAUCAGUGCUGAAAAACUGUGGAUGGCUGACAAAGAUUAAUUUCAGACCAUUUUUGUCCCUCCCCACUGUUUUUCAAGGGUUGGCCACCUUGUGACAUUGCCAGGCCCCACUUUAUGAUAUCACCAGGCCCCACCUCAAAAUCUUAGGAUUUUGCAUCAGACCUGGCAAUGCUAAUUUACUGCAAGACACCCAAGUAUAUCCCCAGCUAUCAACAGGUCCCAUCUUCACUUCUUGUCUCAGGGCCCACUCCAACUUUGCUAUGCCGCUGCUCAGGACCCAGACUGAGAUGGACCUACACUGCUGUGACUUUAGCACCAGGCAAAGACAUUUUUAUUCUCUCAGGCUUUUAAAAUGAAGUUUUGAAAGCUGUCUAAUCACUGUUUUAAUCAUUCUCUCCAGUUAUGUGAAUUUUAUGAAAUUUGAUUUGAUUUUUGUUUGGUGAACCAACUUAGAAAUGCUGUUCAAGGGUGGUAUAAAAAUCUUAUAAUGAACAAAUAAGCAAAUAAAGUUUUAAAUUGGGCUCA